rnacentral:rRNA from 1 species
GACGAACGCUGGCGGCGUGCUUAACACAUGCAAGUCGAACGAUGAAGCUGGAGCUUGCUCCGGUGGAUUAGUGGCGAACGGGUGAGUAACACGUGAGCAAUCUGCCCUUGACUCUGGGAUAACUGCGGGAAACUGUAGCUAAUACCGGAUACGAGGCUCGAAGGCAUCUUCGGGUCUGGAAAGAAUUUCGGUCAAGGAUGAGCUCGCGGCCUAUCAGCUUGUUGGUGAGGUAAUGGCUCACCAAGGCGACGACGGGUAGCCGGCCUGAGAGAGUGACCGGCCACACGGGGACUGAGACACUGACCAGACUCCUACGGGAGGCAGCAGUGGGGAAUAUUGCACAAUGGGCGAAAGCCUGAUGCAGCAACGCCGCGUGAGGGAUGAAGGCCUUCGGGUUGUAAACCUCUUUUAGCAGGGAAGAAGCGAAAGUGACGGUACCUGCAGAAAAAGCACCGGCUAACUACGUGCCAGCCGCCGCCGUAA